rnacentral:rRNA from 1 species
UAGGGAAUUUUCGUCAAUGGGCGCAAGCCUGAACGAGCGAUGCCGCGGUGAGUGAAGAAGGCCUUCGGGUCGUAAAGCUCUGUUGCGGGGGAAAAAAGGCAGCAUCAGGAAAUGGGUGCUGACUGAUGGUGCCCCGCCAGAAAGUCACGGCUAACUACGUGCC